rnacentral:rRNA from 1 species
CCUACGGGAGGCAGCAGUGAGGAAUAUUUGUCAAUGGGCGAAAGCCUGAACCAGCCAAGCCGCGUGAAGGAUGAAGGCCCUAUGCGUUGUAAACUUCUUUUAUAUGGGCAUAAGAAGUGACACGUGUGGGAUUAUGAGUGUCCCCUAUGAAUAAGGAUCGUCUAACUCCGUGCCAGCAGCCGCGGUAAUACGGAGGAUCCGAGCGUUAUCCGGAUUUAUUGGGUUUAAAGGGAGCGUAGGUGGAUGGUUAAGUCAGUUGGGAAAAGUUGGGGCUCAAACGAAAACUGGCAGUGGAAACUGGCAGUAUAGAGUCGGCGAGAGGCAGGCGGAAGUCGGGGUGUAGCGGUGAAAUGCUUAGAUAUAGCGAAGAACCCCGAGUGCGAAGGCAGC